UUUAUGGAGAGUUUGAUCCUGGCUCAGGAUAAACGCUGGCGGCGUGCCUAAUACAUGCAAGUCGAGCGAACGGACGAGAAGCUUGCUUCUCUGAUGUUAGCGGCGGACGGGUGAGUAACACGUGGAUAACCUACCUAUAAGACUGGG
rnacentral:rRNA from 1 species